UUGAACGCUGGCGGCAGGCCUAACACAUGCCAGUCGAGCGGAUGAAGGGAGCUUGCUCCUGGAUUCAGCGGCGGACGGGUGAGUAAUGCCUAGGAAUCUGCCUGGUAGUGGGGGAUAACGUCCGGAAACGGGCGCUAAUACCGCAUACGUCCUGAGGGAGAAAGUGGGGGAUCUUCGGACCUCACGCUAUCAGAUGAGCCUAGGUCGGAUUAGCUAGUUGGUGGGGUAAAGGCCUACCAAGGCGACGAUCCGUAACUGGUCUGAGAGGAUGAUCAGUCACACUGGAACUGAGACACGGUCCAGACUCCUACGGGAGGCAGCAGUGGGGAAUAUUGGACAAUGGGCGAAAGCCUGAUCCAGCCAUGCCGCGUGUGUGAAGAAGGUCUUCGGAUUGUAAAGCACUUUGAGUUGGGAGGAAGGGCAGUAAGUUAAUUCCUUGCUGUUUUGACGUUACCAACAGAAUAAGCACAGGCUAACUUCGUG
rnacentral:rRNA from 1 species